rnacentral:tRNA from 1 species
GGGCGGAUAGCUCAGAGGGAGAGCAUCGGCCUUACAAGCCGAGGGUCGCAGGUUCAAAUCCUGUUCCGCCCA